GGGGAUGACCGGUUUUGACAGCGCGUAGAGGUGGUGUGUAAGCAUGCAGAGCAAUGAUGCCUACGCUCUAUAAUAUGAGACAUCGCAAUUUUAAAUGGCGAAAACAACUACGCUCUUGCUGCCUAAUCGAAGUACAGUAGAUUACGCUUAAUCUCCGCAACAGUUGCAGAGACAAGACAUCGCCCGAUUGUCACAGUCCCGAGACUAAUCGACCAGGCGGUGCAGGUAAAUCGGGAAUAGGAGGCCGGAAGUCGCGAGAAGCCUCCGGAAAUUCAGCGAAUAAGGACGACAUUGGUGGUCAGGAGCCUGUGGCGUCACGAAAAUCAAGUCUUGACUAAGCAUGUAGAAAGCGCAUUAGUUCCGCGUUUGGACGAGGGUUCAAGUCCCUCCAUCUCCACU
rnacentral:tmRNA from 1 species